UUACUAAAAUAACACUGAUUCACAAUGACUUUUAGCUUCAUUAUUUUUGCUAUUUUAAUAAAAAUACAUGAAUGUACAUUUGCAUUAUUUCUGUCAGUCAUUAUUCUUGCUAUUUUGCUAAAAAUGUAUGUAGAUGUUUUUUAGCAUUAUUUCUGUCAGUCUGAUAUAAAAUAUCAAUACAUUUAGUUGCUUAGUUUAAAGUUGAAAUAGAACAGUGUUUUAAUGGACAUUUUUACACUUAAAUUGUUUUUUUCUCCAUAUAAAUACAAUUUUGCUUUAUUAUAAUAAUUCAUGUUUCAGCUUUUGUAUUUUUAUUUCCCAGCUAUGCCCUUUGCAUUCAUCUUCACUCUAUCAUAGCAAAGAUUGCACAUUCUCCUUAACGCACAGGUGAAUUGGGUGCACUGCUUCAAUCAAGGUUUCACCAUUGGGUUUGAGAGUCGUCUGAGCCCAGACAACAAAAGCAAACGCUACAGUGAGUGUCUCUACUGUAAGUGGCUUUUGAAGAAUUGGCACAGUCAUCUGGCGAACACCUCACAUCUCUCACAAACAAAUGAAGGCCUGGUGCUUCAAAGUGAGAUUGAUAUCUCUCUCUGAACUUCAACCAGAAUAUUCUGAAUAUUGAGAGAGCUGCACUCCUCCCACGGGACUGCCAAGGCGCCUCUCUCCUCCCUCGUUCCGCCAAAGAGGGGGAAAAAGAUUACCCUUGUAGAUCUUCCAUGUUCAUCAAUAUUCACUCAUUCAUUGUGAGCCAUGGCUGCUGUAAUUUGGCCCUGUAUUGCUGAAUGGAUGACCCAGGGAUCCACUUUGUUGCCAUGAGGUUGUCUGCAAUAUUGAAAUAUAGGGUUAAAACAGAACAAUACACAAUUUUAUGAACUUCAGACUCAUCUAUAUAUUUAACGUGACGGAAAACUUUUCAAUUUGCUCUGCAGUAGCCAUCCCUUUAAUAAGCCUAGAAUAGAUGUAUCUACUUUGUUCUGGUUUCUGACUGUUUGCCAAAUAUUAAAUUGCUGUUUCUUUUUUUUUUUUGCCCUUUCUGUUUUUACUUGGAAAUGUUUUUCACAUAAAAUGAAGGAAACUACGGCUAAGAUGGGUGCCAUGAAUCAAUAUGUAUUGCUGAGCUCUCGCACAGUAUUUAAGCUGUAUAAAAAUGUACUGAAUUAUUGUUAUAAAACUGAACUUGCAAAAAGUAAAAAUGUCUUAAAUGUCUUUGCAGUUGCAAUGUGCACAUAAAGAAUGUAAUGUGUAUUAUGUACCAUGUUAUGUACCAUAUAUAUACACAAAUGAUUCUGAUUUUUAUUUUAUUUUUAUUUUUUUAUUAUGAAAAUGCUUAAAAACCAAACUACGUUUUUCUUUUUUGAGUUUACUAAAACAUCCAACAGGAAAAUUAAUUUUAGUACAAGCAGAAUGCACUGAAAAUCAGGGUUUCUUCUCUGUUAGUAUAUCUCCACAGCUAUAUGUCUCUAUUAGUGCAUCUUUCCGAGAACUCCUUAGUAGUCAAAUGAAGAGGCGCAAACAAAUGAUGAUGAUGAUGGUCAUGACAUACAUCGCUGAACCACUUUGAGAGGAAUACCUGCUCAAGACUGAACCACAAAGGCCACAAAAUGAGUCUAUCAUAUGAAUCCCCACUCCAGAUCUCCUGCUACCUGACGUCCAUCAAACAUUGCUUUUGAGCUCUGCCGGCAAAACUUAAAACAAUAGAAAACUAAAAAUCAACAUGGAUGAAGAGAUGCGGCUGCCUCAGAGGGAUGAAUGACUGAUACAGUUUCUCUUUCACUGUGCUUUGAAAAGUGAAAUAAUUAAGAUAGAUGGGCAGAUGAAUUAGUUGUCUUCCAAGGUCAAACGCUGAUUGCCUUAUUACUCUAUUACUCCACUGUUGUGAAACCGUUACCGCUGACACUUUUUCAUGAUAUUCUUUACAUCCACAAAAGAGAAGAAAUAAGUGAAGGAGUGAGAGAGAUACAAAUUGAUUGUUUGGUGGCCAAAUCAGUCAUAGUCAUCUUGGGUGGAAGGAUUAAUGGGUCUGAUGGCUGUUGCAGGUUCAGGCAGGGAGACGGGCAGAAAACAAGAGAAAUUGGUUUGGGCCCCCGGGAGCUGAAUCGAUGUUUCCUCAAGUCUUCCUGAAAUGGGCCCAAGGAGGUUAGCAGCUGUGACAAAAAUCAAAAUCCAUUUUCUGUGGCCAAAUGUAAUGAGGACCAAAUGGUGGAUGUUCCAUUCAUCUCUCCAGCCUGUCUGAGCACUCUUAGGCCACAGGCAGCAUGCUUGUGAAAGCCGCGUGGAGUCUCAUGAGCAACCCCAUGAUGGCCCAUGUAGAGGCAUGGCAUUUUAUAGUGUUUUUAGUGGAUAUAUAGUUAUUUUAUAUAUUUAUUUUUAUUAAAUCACCACAUCGGUCUAUGUGCAUAUAAGAGAAAUUGUCCUGGUUAGAGGUCCAUCUAAUCAGCAUCACAAACUCUAUUCUGGCUUCAGGAGGGGACUGUUGUUCCCUCGAAAUUGUUCCUAUUUGUGGACAAAAUGGGGUUUUCUUCACAUACUGAAAAACAUCACAUGGAAAUUGCUCCAGGAUUAUGACUGAGAACCCCUCUUCAAUCUUCAGAAAGCCCACCCACACAAAAUCUGGCUGAGCGAUUCACUAUGCUGAAGUUAGACCUUGUGUGCCACCAGAAUAUAUUUCCCUCCUUUGCAACCGAAUUCAUGUAAAAUUAAUCAACUCCCCACUGUAAUUCCAAAUAUCUGCCACGUGGACUGAUUUGGGUCAACAGCUCAAUUCAACAUCAGGAAAGCGCAAACUCCACAUCAUGAUUGAUUGCCAGCAUAGUCACCCAUAUUAUUAUGAAAUGAGUUUAUUAGCUUUGAAUCUGCUGGUUAUGCACCUCUGUUUUCUGUUUUUUGUGUUUUU